UCCUACGGGAGGCAGCAGUGAGGAAUAUUGGGCAAUGGACGAAAGUCUGACCCAGCCAUGCCGCGUGCAGGAUGACGGCCCUAUGGGUUGUAAACUGCUUUUAUAUGGGAAGAAACCCCUGAACGUGUUCGGGGCUGACGGUACCAUAAGAAUAAGCAUCGGCUAACUCCGUGCCAGCAGCCGCGGUAAUACGGAGGAUGCAAGCGUUAUCCGGAUUUAUUGGGUUUAAAGGGUCCGUAGGCGGAUUUUUAAGUCAGUGGUGAAAGCCUACAGCUUAACUGUAGAACUGCCGUUGAUACUGGAAGUCUUGAGUAUAGUUGAAGUGGGCGGAAUACGUCAUGUAGCGGUGAAAUGCAUAGAUAUGACGUAGAACACCUAUUGCGAAGGCAGCUCACUAAGCUAUAACUGACGCUGAGGGACGAAAGCGUGGGGAGCAAACAGGAUUAGAUACCCUGGUAGUCCACGCUGUAAACGAUGAUAACUCGCUGUUAGCGAUACACAGUUAGCGGCUAAGCGAAAGCGUUAAGUUAUCCACCUGGGGAGUACGUUCGCAAGAAUGAAACUCAAAUGAAUUGACGGA
rnacentral:rRNA from 1 species